UGAAAUAAGACUUUAAAUGGGUGCUAAGAGAAUGGUUGAACAAUUAUUAACUUUCUUUAAUUUAAAAAUUAAAUUUAAUUUUUUUGUGAGGAAGCAAAAAUAAAUAUUAGGGACGAGAAGACCCUAUGAAUUUUAAUUUAGUUUUAGUUUUAUUUAAAAUUAUCAUUAAAUUUGGUUGGGGUGAUGGGAAAAGAAUAUAUAUCUUUUAUUUUUUUUUGAAAAUUGGUUCCGUUUUUAACGAUUAAAUGAAAAAAAUACUCUAGGGAUAACAGCGUAAUAAUUUUGGAUAGUUCAUAUAGAUAAAAUAGUUUGCGACCUCGAUGUUGGAUUAGGAUUCUUUUUCGGCGAAGAAGUUGAGAAGAAGAAGUUUGUUCAACUUUUAAAUUCCUACUUGAUCU
rnacentral:rRNA from 1 species